GUGAAAUAUUGGUUUCUAUGCAUGAUGGAAUUAGCGCUCAUUGCCUAUAUGUAUUGUUAUUAGAAUAUCUCACCUGAAUUGAUUUUUCCUAAGCGAUGUAUUUGUGAUUAACUUAUUUCCAUUCAUUUCAACUGAGCUGAAUUAACUAUCAUAUUACCCCUGUAUAAAGAUGAGAUUAAUAACACAAGUAUUCAUUAUACUUAUGAGAUGAAUGAUAUGCUGCACAGGCCGUAUUGAUUCAGCUGCAAGGAGAGAGCGUGGGGCGGGUUGCUUAUCAUCAAGCUUUUAUCGUUUAUUUACUGCUAUAUAUUGGGCAGAACAGGCUGUUUAAAUGACUCUAUUUCACCAGCUUGAAAUAUGAGCCACUGAAAUUCUCGAUAGUGCAUCUGUCACCACAAAAGUCCUUUUUCCACUCCUCCUUUCCACUCAGCAUUGUUUAGCCAUUUAAAUUAGAUCAGUAAUCCUCCCUCAAUGAUAGACCAUUAGACAUACACUGGAAUUUGAAGAGCAUCUUUAUUUAUAUCAACCGUUCUGAAUAUUACUGAAUAAACUACCCACCUCUUCACUUUCCCCGAGCUCAGAGAUGAACGAGGGAGGGAAAAAAAAGAGAAAACAAAACAGAUAGUAGGUGUGGAGGCUGUAAAGGAUAUUCACUGAAAGUUCCCAUUGCUGGGGUUUGUUUCUUAUCUUUGCAGACGAGUGGGAAAUCAAAGACUGGAAUGCUGGGAGAACACUGGAGAAAUUGACGAAGGGGUGAGCUCUGGAAAGGAGGACAGAUACUUCCUGUUCCUUCUGGAGUGACCCGCAGGUCUGAGGAGGAGUGAGGGAGAGGAAGGUGGAGAAAGUUAUUUAAAAAAUUCUUUCCAAGUACCCAGUGAAACCUGCUAAAGUACCCUCUGGUGUAAACAUACCCCUGGUUGGGAAUCAACGAUAUGAUGGACAAACAAGCACAAACUUGGCGAUAUCUGCAUCAAAUCUCCCAGAGCCGGGACGAGAGCAUCACUCACAGAUUUAUGAAGAAUCCAGAAAUGUGUCUCAUCAUUAUGAAGGAAGGUCUUUGACCAGUCCAACUCUUGGCAGGUGCAGAACACUAAAGGACCAUUUUAUUUCUAAAUUAGUCUGAAAGGCGCACCACAAAGACUGGAAAUGCUGCUGCCCUUUCAUUUUAAAUGGUACGUUGGCAUUUAACACUACACAUGUCAGCAGAACUUCACUCUCCAUUUAUGGCUUCUUAAUGUAUGUGUAUUUGUUCACUGCCACUUAUGAUAUUAGCUGUUGUCAUCUGCAGUGGAAAAGGACAUUGCAGAUAUGAAAAAGCAUUCUUGUGAUCAUAAAUGAAUUUGUAAACUACAUUCAUAAACUCCCACCUUUUUAUAUAGCCUCCUCCACUUUCCAGUAGCACAAAAUAAUCGACUUUUACACACAGAAAAAAAAAAAAAACUUAUAUAGAAAAAACUAUAGCACGUUACUGUAAUUGUUUUUCAUUUCCCCUCUUCCUUUCCUUUAAUCUUUUUUUUUUCUUUUACAAAAAGGUGACUGAUGUCACCUCUCUCCACUUGUCAAGUGUAAGAUGCUUUUAAAAUAAUUAAUUUUUUUUUAUAUUUA
rnacentral:lncRNA from 12 species